UACGAAGGGUGCAAGCGUUACUCGGAAUUACUGGGCGUAAAGCGUGCGUAGGUGGUUUGUUAAGUCUGUUGUGAAAGCCCCGGGCUCAACCUGGGAAUGGCAAUGGAUACUGGCAAGCUAGAGUGCGGUAGAGGGUAGUGGAAUUCCCGGUGUAGCGGUGAAAUGCGUAGAGAUCGGGAGGAACACCAACAGCGAAGGCAGAUCUCUGGGACGUUACUGACGCUGAGACGCGAAAGCGUGGGGAGCAAACAGG
rnacentral:rRNA from 1 species